GGGAUCGAACCCCGGUCUCUGAUGCUGCAAGUGCUGUAAGGCUGCAACUCUACCCCUGUUCCACUGUGCAGUCCUAUAUCGUUUUGUAUAUGAUACAUUUGUGAAACCUUGUGCAAAACCAGCUCCUGCAUUUUCUAUCACUGGGUCCACAGUGAAUCCCCUGCUAACCAUUUUCACUCCCCUUCCCACAAACUGGAGGAACAGCACCACAUAUUCCGCUUGGGUGACUUGCAACCUAUCGGUAUGAACAAAGAACUCUCCAAUAUUAGGUAACAAACCCCAGCUCCCUUUUUUUUCUCGCUCUCUUCCAUGUGCCCCACCCAGAUGCUAACCCGUUUCUCCUUUCUCCUCCCCCUUGUCCCCUUCCACCUUUAUUCUUUCCUCCGGCUUCAUGCCUCUUCUCUCCUUAUCUCACAGUGUUUUGUCUCUUUUUUUUAUCUCUGGCCUUUGUCCAGCUAUCUAAUCAAUCCUGUAUUCAUCUAUCACUUGCCUGGCUUUGUCCUGCCCCCACCCCUCUUCCAACUUCCUUAUAAAAAAUAUAUAUAUAUCCUGACCUGAAAGGUCACCUUUCCAUGUUCUCCACAGAUGCUGCCUGCCCCACUGAAUUACUCCAGUACUUUUUUUUGUAACUUAAGUUUCCAGCAACUGCGGUUCCUUGUGUCAUCUGUUCUUUGAAUCCUCUCUUGUUUGGCCUUUACAUGGUGUAUUUCUACCAGAGUGGUUUUUCUUGUCAAUUAUUGAGCCUACUUUGCCAUUACUACUUAAACCCAUAUUUCCCAAAGCACAUUUGUGUGUCUGUUUGUCAAGUUAAUUUCUAAAUGAAUUGCAGCUGGUACUACAGAUCCAUGCAUAUGGAAAUGGUUGGACACGAUCAGGAAUUAUAUUUGAUGUUAGCAAUUGUUAUUUAGUACAUUCGUUAAGAAUAUAGUACACAAUUGUUCAUGAUUACAAAGCAUUCUGUUAGUUUCUAAUCAGAUCUGCAUUGAACAUCUGAUUUGAAUACGUUGCCUUUGGAAAUAUUUCCAGAUGUAUUUGACCCAAUACUGAAAAUAGCCAGCAAGCUUUCCCCUUGAACCCAACCUAGGACUGAAAUUGAUGUCGAUGAACAGCAGAGAAGACCAGACCACUAAAUUAAAAUAAUGACUACAAGCAGUAUUUAUUCCAUGUUGUCUAAACAUGGAGCAGUACAACACAAGAACCGGCCCUAAAACCCAUAAUGUCAGUGCUGAGCAUGAUGCCAAAAGCGACCCUCAUCUGCCCUACUGGUUGGCAGUACUGCUUCACUUAUUUGCAAUGAAUUUUAAAACUAAGGGGAUAUCACAGCACAAGUGCAAAUACAACAUUCCACGUGCACACUAGAGCAGGCUUCCAUGAUUGUGAUAUUAUGGGAAAACAACUACUAAAAUCUUGCAUCAUAUUUGUGAAUUUUUUCUGCUCAUUCUCCCAAACCAUGUCUUUAUGCAACUUAACACGCAUUAUCUUUCUGCUUGCGAAUUUCAAUUAAAACUGGUAGAAGUAUGGGUUUCAGAAGAACCAUUAAGAUUGCAUCGUCAAUUCCAUGGGAAGCACAAUAAAGCUGUCAUUCAGGUA